UAAUACGAAGGGUGCUAGCGUUGUUCGGAAUUACUGGGCGUAAAGGGCGCGUAGGCGGUUAUAUAAGUCAGAUGUGAAAGCCCCGAGCUUAACUUGGGAACAGCAUUUGAUACUGUAUGACUAGAGUACGAGAGAGGAAAGUGGAAUUGCGAGUGUAGAGGUGAAAUUCGUAGAUAUUCGCAAGAACACCAGUGGCGAAGGCGACUUUCUGGCUCGUAACUGACGCUAAGGCGCGAAAGCGUGGGGAGCAAACAGGAUUAGAUACCCUGGUAGUCCACGCUGUAAACGAUGAGUGCUAGAUGUUAGGAAGGGAACUUCUUAGUGUCGCAGCUAACGCAUUAAGCACUCCGCCUGGGGAGUACGGUCGCAAGAUUA
rnacentral:rRNA from 1 species